AUUGAACGCUGGCGGCAUGCCUUACACAUGCAAGUCGAACGGAUUGAGGGGCUUGCUCCUCAGUUAGUGGCGAACGGGUGAGUAAUGCAUCGGAACGUACCCAGUCGUGGGGGAUAACUACUCGAAAGAGUAGCUAAUACCGCAUACGCCCCGAGGGGAAAGCGGGGGACUCGCAAGAGCCUCGCGCGAUUGGAGCGGCCGAUGUCAGAUUAGCUAGUUGGUAGGGUAAAAGCCACCAAGGCGACGAUCUGUAGCUGGUCUGAGAGGACGACCAGCCACACUGGGACUGAGACACGGCCCAGACUCCUACGGGAGGCAGCAGUGGGGAAUUUUGGACAAGUGGGGCAACCCUGAUCCAGCAAUGCCGCGUGAGUGAAGAAGGCC
rnacentral:rRNA from 1 species